UACGUAGGGUGCAAGCGUUAAUCGGAAUUACUGGGCGUAAAGCGUGCGCAGGCGGCUUUGCAAGACAGAUGUGAAAUCCCCGGGCUUAACCUGGGAACUGCAUUUGUGACUGCAUGGCUGGAGUGCGGCAGAGGGGGAUGGAAUUCCGCGUGUAGCAGUGAAAUGCGUAGAGAUGUGGAGGAACACCGAUGGCGAAGGCAGCCCCCUGGGUCAAAACUGACGCUCAUGCACGAAAGCGUGGGGAGCAAACAGG
rnacentral:rRNA from 1 species